AUCUGCCCUCGCUGGCCACCAGGGUCCCGGCGGUGGCGGUGGGCGCGAGGGGUGGCGGCCCGGGCAGAGGGAUCCAGACCAGAAACGGAAGGCCCUCCGGUGCCCAGAGGGAGCAAAAUCCAUGAUGUCUCCUGCCCCGGGAAUUGUUGCCCCAGCCUCCUUGGGAUGAAGUGCUGCCAACCACCACCAGUUCUUUCCCAACGGCCGUCUCUCCCAGGCUUCUUAAGCCACUCCUGGCAUCUUCUGGAGUCUCAUGAAGGGCUGAAGCAGAGGAACCCUCCGAAGGGAUUUAUGCUUUCACAGGGAGUGGGAAUGCUUGAGGGUGUUCUGUGUUGAUCGCUUCUGCCUAUCUCCCCAUGUUCAUUUUGUGUCCCUGUGUGUGUCUUAAUUUCGAAGCAACUUUAGCCAACAAGUCCUUACAGAAUUCCUCGUGGAAAAACUUGUAAAUUGUCUUAAUUGGUUGUUUUUCUUUUUGGUCUGAGAUGUGCUGUUUUAAAUCUAUAUGGAGAUGGAGAAGCCUCACAUUCUCUGGGGUAAAGUGAAAACCUCUAAUUAAAGCUGCAUCCUUUUGCCUUGUGGGUUUAAA